CUAUAUCUCGAGAUGGAUAUCUCCAAGGUCACUCCAAAGGUGGCCGUCGAAAUGGGUGUAAAGGGGGAUCUUGAAUCACCCCCCAAAGCAGUAGAGGAGCCAACAAAAGAGUUAGGUCGGUCAACUACCGAGGUGAAUGCAAUAGAAGCCAUUGCUGCAGAGCCCAUAUCCGUGGUACCCACAAUGGAGAUUGAAGACCUCGAGG
rnacentral:lncRNA from 1 species